UGCUGAUUGAUCCAUGGGCAGCCACGGGUU
rnacentral:piRNA from 1 species